rnacentral:rRNA from 1 species
GAUGAACGCUGGCGGCGUGCCUAAUACAUGCAAGUCGAGCGAACGGACGAGAAGCUUGCUUCUCUGAUGUUAGCGGCGGACGGGUGAGUAACACGUGGAUAACCUACCUAUAAGACUGGGAUAACUUCGGGAAACCGGAGCUAAUACCGGAUAAUAUUUUGAACCGCAUGGUUCAAAAGUGAAAGACGGUCUUGCUGUCACUUAUAGAUGUAUCCGCGCUGCAUUAGCUAGUUGGUAAGGUAACGGCUUACCAAGGCAACGAUGCAUAGCCGACCUGAGAGGGUGAUCGGCCACACUGGAACUGAGACACGGUCCAGACUCCUACGGGAGGCAGCAGUAGGGAAUCUUGCGCAAUGGGCGAAAGCCUGACGGAGCAACGCCGCGUGAGUGAUGAAGGUCUUCGGAUCGUAAAACUCUGUUAUUAGGGAAGAACAUAUGUGUAAGUAACUGUGCACAUCUUGACGGUACCUAAUCAGAAAGCCACGGCUAACUACGUG